ACAAACAUAUAUAUUUAUUCAUCUCUAUUCACACACAAUGAGGCAUAUUUUUAUUGAUCUGUAUUUUUUGAGGAACUAUAGGGCACUUAACAUCUACAACAGAGCCACAAUUAGAACAGACCCUCCGCGGUGACGUUUUUGGUGGAGCUGUUCGUAUAAUAGUCGACUCGGAAAAAGUGAACGUUUUUACAAUAAACUUCAU